UACGUAGGGUGCAAGCGUUGUCCGGAAUUAUUGGGCGUAAAGAGCUCGUAGGCGGUUUGUCGCGUCUGCUGUGAAAACCCGAGGCUCAACCUCGGGCCUGCAGUGGGUACGGGCAGACUAGAGUGCGGUAGGGGAGAUUGGAAUUCCUGGUGUAGCGGUGGAAUGCGCAGAUAUCGGGAGGAACACCUGAGGCGAAGGCGGGCUACUGGGCCGAUACUGACGCUGCAGCGCGAAAGCCAGGGGAGCGAACGGG
rnacentral:rRNA from 1 species